AGGAGCCAGUUGAAGGCUGCAGUGAUUCUGGUGACACUACAGUGUAUCAGAGAGAAGCUAUUGAAUAUUUGUCUCUCUUUGCUGUUGCAGCAGUUUUGCAAUUUGCACAUGGUCCCUGUUCACUCCAUAGACAUCAAUGUUAUUCGUGCAGCUUGAAAGACAGCUACUGUUGAUAAAACUGGGCUUGUAGCACAUUGUCUACCUUACAACGAUGGAAAAGAGGCAUCGUUUAUGUUUUGACCAGUGUUGCCAACUCCUCAGUAAGGAAAGUAGCUAUUGGCUGUCCUAAAAGUCACUAGAAGUCGCUAAAUGAUGUCAUCGCCUAAUUUGCAUAAGUUCCCGUUUGCAUGUAAUUGUAAUCAACAUUGUGGGAGAGACAAAAAGUGAGUUUAAAAUACCCAAAAUAUGUUUCUGAACUAGAGGCUAAAUGCAGUGAUUUAUUUUAGUGUGACAGUGAAGAAACAUUUUCAUUUCCAUCCCACUCUGUAAGCAGACUUUGAUUCAUCUGCCGUCUGGACAUGGAGUGAUGUGGGUCUCCUUCCUCUAAUCAGACAGUGGGAUGCUGCAGGUCACUAGACUGACCUCCUGUGCUUUGUGAAGGGGAGGAGCUCACAGCGCCACCUGCUGCUCGUUGAGGACAGUAACUGCAGAACGAUCCGAGCUUUCAUGUCAGACAGGGGCGGAUCCAGAUUAAUUUUAGUGGGGGGGUAAGAAAAAAUGAAAGCUGCUACCAACCUCUGGCUUUUACAAAGUGUUUUUCAUGGUUUUUUUUGGCUCUUUAACCCAAUAGGAAAGCUGUAUAUGACCUUUUCAUUUUGGACUGUUAACAUUCAAAUUAUGAUGGACUUGUUUCCUUGUUUAUGUGAAUUACAGCAUCAUUAGCUGCAACAUCUGCCUGUUCUGUAAAACUAGUAGCUCAACGACAGCAUCCUGAGGGCAAUUAAGUGACAAAUAUUGUGCAAGAACAGCACUAUUACAAUCCUGACAAUUUCCACUUCUUAGAAUGUUUACUGCCAAUUAUCACACAUAAAACAAGAAAUAAUAUUCUGUACUAAUACUUCUGUAUCACCCAAUACACAGUGAAUAGAUAUUAUCUGAAAGUCGGGUUAUUGUUGUUUAUCAGCACAAUACAAAAAGAUUCAUGUUAGACAUAUUCCAGUUAAGACUAGAAUAUCAUGAUUUAUGUAAAUUUACCUCAAUAAUAUGAAUGUUCAGGUUAAGAUUGUACAGUGAUAUUUAUUAUGUAAGUUUAACUGAUUAAAGUUUAUGACUCUGCACUACAAUAUUAUUUAUUAUUUAGAUUUACAUCAUUAUUAUAAUAUUUAGGGUCAGACUCUACAGUAUUGAGAUUAAGAAAUCAAAUAUUCUAUAAAAUGUAAAUACACUGAACUCAUUUGGAUAUAUUUAAGUGAGACUCUACAAUAUUAUUAGAUACAAAUCUAUCUAAAUCAAAAUUUUAAUCAUUUUUACUCCAAACAUUUACUGGACUGAUUUAAAUAUUAAAAUCACUCCUUUCUAAUCCUCUGCUGUACGUUCAAACCUGAGGCCUUAAAUAGAAACACACAAGUAUCUGAUUGAAGGAACUUCUGCAGAGUCCUGGUUCCAGAACAUGAUGAUAGAAUUAUAGACAAACUUUAACAAAAGCUGCCUGAGAGUUUACAGGUUUUUAUGUUAGAUUUCUUCAGUAAUUUAAUGAGUUAUCAGCAAUAAUCAAGUGUUCAUUUGAUGAACUUCAUUUCCUAAAACAUCCAGAAUUGGAGCUCAUAUCUUUGUCAGCUGUAAAGUUUCUGCUCCUUCAAAGUUCACAACACAAUGAAUGAAUUCCUAAAACACUCUCAAUGCUGGAGAGUGUUUGAUGCUGAAGCAAUGACCAGUUUUUCUGUUUCUUCUCUGGAGAUGCACAAUGAGGGACGUCUGCAGAGACUGAGAAAGAGUCUCACCACAUCCUGACAUGAGGAAAAAGAUUUUAUUGAAGACUACAAUGAGAAAAACUAUCAGACAGCAGACGGCUGCAUUCAAGUCUGUAGCUGCUGAAUUCAUGGAUGAAUCAUCUGGCACUAGAGAGGAAGACCAUCAAACAUCCACGUCAGCUGAUGGAGGUCCAAGAGUCUCACCAAACAAACAACCUACAGAGUGAAGACCUCAAAUCUGAUUGGACGGCCUCCUAUUCAGCCACAUGUGUGAACAAAUGCCUCUAAGUUGAUUUGUUUUCUAAAAUAAAUCUAGUUUGAGUCCUAA